rnacentral:rRNA from 1 species
GACGAACGCUGGCGGCGUGCUUAACACAUGCAAGUCGAACGGGAAGGCCCUGCUUUUGUGGGGUGCUCGAGUGGCGACCGGGUGAGUAACAAGUGAGUAACCUGCCCUUGACUUUGGGAUAACUUCAGGAAACUGGGGGUAAUACCGGAUAGGAGCUCCUGCUGCAUGGUGGGGGUUGGAAAGUUUCGGCGGUUGGGGGUGGACUCGCGGCUUGUCAGCUUGUUGGUGGGGUAGUGGCUUACCAAGGCUUUGACGGGUAGCCGGCCUGAGAGGGUGACCGGCCACACUGGGACUGAGAUACGGCCCAGACUCCUACGGGAGGCAGCAGUGGGGAAUAUUGCACAAUGGGCGGAAGCCUGAUGCAGCAACGCCGCGUGCGGGAUGACGGCCUUCGUGUGGUAAGCCGCUUGCGCCUGUGACGAAGCGGGAGUGAGGGUAAUGGGUAAAGAAGCACCGGCUAACUACGUG